GACGAACGCUGGCGGCGUGGAUUAGGCAUGCAAGUCGAACGGUAUCAUCCUUUCGGGGGCGAGAGAGUGGCGAACUGGUGAGUAACACGUAGGUUAUCUACCCUCAAGACGGGGACAACCCAGGGAAACUUGGGCUAAUACCGGAUGUGAGCAACUUUUAGUUGUUUGAAAGGUGGCGUAAGCUGUCGCUUGGGGAUGAGCCUGCGUCCUAUUAGUUAGUUGGUGAGGUAACGGCUCACCUAGGCAAUGAUAGGUAGGCGGCCUUAACGGGUGGUCGCCCACACUGGGAUUGAGAUACGGCCCAGACUCCUACGGGAGGCAGCAGUCGAGAAUAGUCUACAAUGGUCGGAAGACUGAUAGUGCGACGCCGCGUGAACGAUGAAUCCCUUCGGGGUGUAAAGUUCUUUUAUAUGUGAGCAGUGCUUCUUAUAUUAACAGUAUGGGGAGAGAGAUAUUAGCAUAUGAAUAAGCAACGGCUAACUCCGUGCCAGCAGCCGCGGUAAACUCGU
rnacentral:rRNA from 1 species